rnacentral:SRP_RNA from 1 species
GCUGGGCGCGAUGGUGAGUGCCUGUAGUCCCAGCUACUCAGGAGGCUGAGGCUGGAGGAUCGCUUGAGCCCAGGAGUUCUGCGCUGUAGUGUGCUAUGCUGACCGGGUGUCCACACUAAGUUCAGCAUCAAUAUGGUGUGACCUCCUGAGAGCAGGAGACCACCAGGUUGCCUAAGGAGGGGUGAACUGACCCAGGUCGGAAACAGAGCAGGUCAAAACUCCUGUGCUAAUCAGUAGUGGGAUCGUGGCUGUGAAUAGCCACGGCACUCCAGCCUGGGCAACAUAGUGAGACCCUGUCUCA